rnacentral:rRNA from 1 species
CAGUCGCCGCGGUAAUACGUAGGUGGCAAGCGUUGUCCGGAAUUAUUGGGCGUAAAGGGCUCGCAGGCGGUUUCUUAAGUCUGAUGUGAAAGCCCCCGGCUCAACCGGGGAGGGUCAUUGGAAACUGGGAAACUUGAGUGCAGAAGAGGAGAGUGGAAUUCAACGUGUAGCGGUGAAAUGCGUAGAGAUGUGGAGGAACACCAGUGGCGAAGGCGACUCUCUGGUCUGUAACUGACGCUGAGGAGCGAAAGCGUGGGGAGCGAACAGGAUUAGAUACCCCUGUAGUCCCUGUCUCUUAUAC